rnacentral:rRNA from 1 species
AUGAGCAUGGCGGCGACGGCGGCCACGGCCACGGCGUGGCCCUCCACCUCCUCCUCUGUCCUCGCCCCCCGCACCCGCCACCACGUCACUCCCAGCCCCCGCGCCCUCCGCUCCGGCUUCCUCGGCCGCGCCCUCACCCUGGCCGCCGCCACCGACCGCCCCUCCUCCGUCUCCAUCUCCGUGCGCGCGGCCUGGGACGGGCCGCUCUCCUCGGCGCGCCUCAUCAUGCAGGGCCGCAACGUCAAGCUGACGGAGAAGCUCAAGGAGCACAUCGAGGACAAGGUGGGGCGCGCGGUGCACAACCACGCGCACCUGGUGCGGGAGGUGGACGUGCGCCUCUCCGCCCGCGGCGGCGACCUCAGCAAGGGCCCCAAGCUCUCCCGCUGCGAGGUCACGCUCUUCACCAGGCGCCACGGCGUCGUGCGCGCCGAGGAGGAGGAGGAGUCAUCCUACGCCUCCAUCGACGCCGCCGCCGCCGUCGUCAAGCGCAAGCUGCGCAAGAUCAAGGAGAAGGAGACGGACGUGCGCCACCUCAAGGGCACCAAGGAGUGGCAGUCCUCCGGGCUGUCCGAUGUCGAAGAUGAAUCGGAGGCAGAGGAGGAGGAGGAGGACGACGAGCUGGUCGAGGUCAUCGGCGCCGAGGACGAGGAGAGCGUGCUCACCAAGGCUCUGAUGUGUGAGCCCAUCAACUAUGUUGUUGGUUUGCAGGUUGUGCGCACCAAGGUGUUCGAGAUGGCGCCGCUGACGGUGGACGAGGCGCUGGAGCAGCUCGAGAACGUCGACCAUGACUUCUACGCCUUCAGGAACGAGCAGACAGGGGAGGUGAACAUCCUGUACAAGAGGAAUGAGGGAGGGUUUGGGCUCAUCAUCCCCAAGCAGGACGGCCACGUCGACAAGGCCACCGUCAAUGCCAAGGAGAAGGAGCACCCCGUCGCCGGCUGA